UGAUACAGGCAAGCUUGAGUCUCGUAGAGGGGGGUAGAAUUCCAGGUGUAGCGGUGAAAUGCGUAGAGAUCUGGAGGAAUACCGGUGGCGAAGGCGGCCCCCUGGACGAAGACUGACGCUCAGGUGCGAAAGCGUGGGGAGCAAACAGGAUUAGAUACCCUGGUAGUCCACGCCGUAAACGAUGUCGACUUGGAGGUUGAGCCCUUGAGGCGUGGCUUCCGGAGCUAACGCGUUAAGUCGACCGCCUGGGGAGUACGGCCGCAAGGUUAAAACUCAAAUGAAUUGACGGGGGCCCGCACAAGCGGUGGAGCAUGUGGUUUAAUUCGAUGCAACGCGAAGAACCUUACCUGGUCUUGACAUCCACAGAACUUUUCAGAGAUGGAAAGGUGCCUUCGGGAACCGUGAGACAGGUGCUGCAUGGCUGUCGUCAGCUCGUGUUGUGAAAUGUUGGGUUAAGUCCCGCAACGAGCGCAUCCCUUAUCCUUUGUUGUCAGCGGUCCGG
rnacentral:rRNA from 1 species